UCCUUGGUGGCUCAGUGGUAAAGAAUCUGCCUGCAACAUAGGAGACCCAGGUUCAAUCCCUGGAUGGGGAA
rnacentral:tRNA from 1 species